rnacentral:rRNA from 1 species
UAGGGAAUCUUCCGCAAUGGACGCAAGUCUGACGGAGCAACGCCGCGUGAGUGAAGAAGGAUUUCGGUUCGUAAAACUCUGUUGUUAGAGAAGAACAGCGCAUAGAGUAACUGUUAUGCGUGUGACGGUAUCUAACCAGAAAGCCACGGCUAACUACGUGCCAGCAGCCGCGGUAAUACGUAGGUGGCAAGCGUUGUCCGGAUUUAUUGGGCGUAAAGCGAGCGCAGGCGGUCAAUUAAGUCUGAUGUGAAAGCCCCCGGCUCAACCGGGGAGGGUCAUUGGAAACUGUUUGACUUGAGUGCAGAAGAGGAGAGUGGAAUUCCAUGUGUAGCGGUGAAAUGCGUAGAUAUAUGGAGGAACACCAGUGGCGAAGGCGACUCGCUGGUCUGUAACUGACGCUGAGGUUCGAAAGCGUGGGUAGCAAACAGG